UUCAUGAAGCGCUGGCCUGCUCUUUUUAGCGAGGUACAGAUAUGUGAAGAAUUUAAGAGGAUAACAACAGUCAGCCUUGAAUCAACCUUUCUGGCCAGGCUUGACCAAUGCACCCCAAAACUGAUGGCCUUGACCCUGUCAAAAGGAGGAGCUGCAGGUCUGAGGAUGAGGCAGAUUAAGGACAUGCUUCUGCAGUGUUUUUACUUAUGAAGAAGGAAUGUCCAGGUGACAAGCGCAGCGUUUGUCAGAUCUCCGCAGAGUGAGACAGCCAUGCCCCCCACUGUGUGCGGAGUAAGCAGGUCCCAAACAAUAAGAAACUCAGGAGAAUAGCCAGAUCACCUUUUCCACCUUAUUCCAAAUGAACUUUUUUAUUAUUUAAUUUAAAAAAUGCUAUAUCAUUAUGGAUAUCAUUUUCAGUAUAUGAAGUAAGCUACUUACAUCUGAUUUUUUUUUAACACAUCUAUUUUUUUCUA